rnacentral:lncRNA from 1 species
CAUUAGUCAUUUGUUUUGGAAUUCUCACAAGCAAAGGGUCACCUGCCGGGCCUGAGCCUUGUAGUGGUGGUGGUGACACACUGCUCAGGCCUGUGCCCUCGUGGACAUGUCCUCCAGGUUUUGUUACCAGCUUAACUUUGUGGAUUGGCCUUGGGGUGACUCAGCCCAAGUGUUGGUGACACCUUGGGAGGCCUGGCUUCAGUGCCAUCAUGUGCACCAAGCUUCCAGCAGUCUACAUCCAACUAGGAAAGACAAAGCCAGGGUGAUGCCCAGGGGCUGGUAUGGUGGUGCCCGCCUCAGUACCAGCGCUGGAGCGGUGGAUCUCUGUGAGUCUGACGACAACCUAGUCUACGUGGAGUAGCAGUUCUCAACCCCUUUGGGGGCUGGAUGACCUUUCAUGGGGGGGGGGUCUCCUAAGGCCACCAGAAAACACAGAUAUUUACAUUAUGAUUCAUAACAGUAGCAAAGUCAGAGUUGUGAAGUAACAAUGAAAUAAUUUAUUAAAGGGUCACAGCCUUAAGAAGGUUCAGCACUACUGACAGAGAUCCAGACCAGUCAAGAUUACACAGUGAGACCCUGUCUCAAGACAAAAAUGAAAACGAAAACAAAAGAAUGAUGCGAGGGCGAGGCAUUUGGAAAAGGGAGUGUGGCUCAGGCUCUGUCUGCCAGCGACUGGUAGGAGGAGGGGAGCUUUGUUUGAAAGGCAAGCGUGGGGAGCCCAAUGUGAAGCAUUGGUGCCACCUAGUGGCUCUACUGGGUACUGUUAGCAUUACUGCUUGACACUAAGACCUUGAAUCUGCCCUGGGUUACUUACCUAAGUUCUUGGGAGCUAGGCAGAUGCCAUGGACCCCAAGAAGGGGGAUUUUUCUAUCCAUUUAAUGUCUCAUAAGUCACAUUUUCUUGAUGUCGAAGUUACCUGGACCCACAGAAGACAUAUAUCACUCUAGUUUCAUGUCCGUUUCUUCCCCCCAUUAGAGCAUUAGAAAAGGAACAAGUUACCAUAUUUGUCUUUUUGUGAUUGGGUUACUUCGCUCAGAAUGGUUUCUUUGAGUUCCAUCCAUUUUCCUGCAAAUUUCAAGAUUCCAUUGUUUUUUUCUGCUGAGUAGUACUCCAUUGUAUAAAUGUACCACAUUUUCUCUAUCUAUUCUUCGGUUAAGGGGCAUCUAGGCCGCUUCCAGUUUCUGGCUAUUACAAAUAGUGCUGCUAUAAACAUGGUUGAACACUCAUAUGUGGACCUGCUUUAUGAUACAUAAUAGUGACCGUGCUCUAUCAGAGCUGGUUUCCUUCCAGAUGAUGAUUGAGAAGCUAAUUUAAAAAAAAAAUGGUGCCAGGUACCACAAGAGUAACAGAACUGUGCUGUUUUUCUGGGAUUUUGUUUUUUAUUUAUUUUUUUAAAUGGAGAGUGCUGGAUGUCUCUACAAUUUUGUUCAAAUGAUUGCAGAACCUGGAAAAGCUGUUGCUGCUAUUGAUUCAUAACAUACUG